rnacentral:rasiRNA from 1 species
GCAACUGGGAAGAAAUUGCGGAGG